CAGCUGAGGGGGUUCGGGCAUCUAGUAAGGAUGCCCCCUGGGCGCCUCCCUAGGGAGGUGUUCCAAGCACGACCAGCUGGGAGGAGGCCACGGGGAAGACCCAGGACUAGGUGGAGAGAUUAUAUCGCCACACUUGCCUGUGAACGCCUCAGGAUCCCCCAGUCUGAGCUGGUUAAUGUGGCCCGGGAAAGAGAAGUUUGGGGUCCCCUGCUGGAGCUGCUGCCCCCGCGACCCGACCCCGGAUAACGGGUUGAUGAUGAGUGAGUGAGAUAAGAAAAGAGGGAAAGUGAAGGGGGAUGUUGGAGAGAGUACUGAAGUGAAGUAGUGAGGUGGCAGGACAGGGUGGUCCCUUAUUAUUGCAAGUGUGUGGGAGGAAACCGGAGCAUCCGAAGUAAACCCUUACGUAAAGAUCUGGCCAGAACUAGAACCUGGCUGUGAGGCAUCAUUGCUCACCACUGAGCCUCAAAGGGGAGAAUAAAAAGAGAUUUAAAUGAAUGGAGAUAAGAAAAGAGGGAAAGGGAAGGGGGAUGUUGGAGAGAGUACUGUAG